AAUGAACGCUGGCGGCAGGCCUAAAACAUGCAAGUCGAACGCCCUAGCAUUAGGGAGUGGCGCACGGGUGAGUAACAUGUGGGAAUAUGCCUUUUGGUACGGAACAACGUUUGGAAACGAACGCUAAUACCGUAUGGUCCCUCCGGGGUAAAGAUUUAUCGCCAAAGGAUUAGCCCGCACUAGAUUAGCUAGUUGGUAAGGUAAUGGCUUACCAAGGCGACGAUCUAUAGCUGUUCUGAGAGGAAGAUCAGCCACACUGGGACUGAGACACGGCCCAGACUCCUACGGGAGGCAGCAGUUAGGAAUAUUGGACAAUGGGCGCAAGCCUGAUCCAGCCAUGCCGCGUGAGUGAUGAAGGCCUUCGGGUUGUAAAGCUCUUUAGCCGACGAAUAUAAUGACUGUAGUCGGAGAAUAAGCCCCGGCUAACUUCGUGCCAGCCGCCGCCGUAAAAC
rnacentral:rRNA from 1 species